GGAAAUUCAGACACAGAUACACACACAGGAAGAGCACCACGUGAAGAUGAAGGGAGAAAUGGGAGUGAUGCUUGUGCAAGCCAAGAGCUGUCAAAGAUUGCCAGCAAACCACCAGAAGCCAGAGGAGAGGCAUGGAGCAGACUCUGACAGCCCUCAGAAGGAACCCACCCUGGCAGACACCUUGAUUUCAGACUUCUAGCCUCCAGAACUGUGAGACAGGAAAUUUCUGUUGUUAGAGCUGCCCAGUCUGUGAUACUUAAGCUCUACCAGAUUAAUACAACGUCACUGAAAUACUCUGUGGGGAAACCAGCUGCCAUUUCAUGGGACAGCUCUGUGCAGAUGCCCAUGUAGUGAGGAACUGAGUGCUACACCCAAUAACCGAUGAGGAACUAUAAGUCCUGCUGACAACCACAUGAGAAAGCUUGGAAGAGGAUCCUUCAGCCUCAGUGGAGCAUUGAGAUGAAUGGAGUCCUGCCCAACAGCUUGACUGUAACCUCAUGAGAGACCUGAUCCAGAACCACACAAAGUAGUGCAGCUCUGAAGACUCCUGGAGAUCUUGGCAAGCUUUUCCAUCAACUGCAUCAACCAACAAGCGUUGCUACGUCAAGGAAGAAAGGUAUGCAGAUACAGAGGCGGGGAACAGACAACAAGAACAACAAUGAUGACAUCAGUGACAACAAAAACAGGAUGACAUUAUCUUUCAGGCAUUGCAGACCCAUCUGAGAUGGGUUUCUGCCGGGAGCCGCCCACCAGUCAGCUAAGCCUCUGCCCAAGGGCAAGGUCCGGAAGAGAGAUGAGGGAACGCACGGCGGACCCUCAGAAGAUGGCGGUCGGCCGCUCCUGAUCCUACUUAUGCUACUAAUCUUAGCAAUAUUGCUCUUGCUGUUCUUUUUCUGUACAUGGGAUAUCUUGGGGAAAAUCUCUCCAUGCAGGGGAAAGAAGCUGGUGUAACCUGGCCUUCUAGGGGGGGUUCAGGGGAACAACAGCCUGAAGGGAAAAAACCUUCGGACCCCCUCCUGGAAAGGCGGUAAGGGAGCUUGGACAGCCCUCAAGGAGGAAGCCUUCUAAUAAUCAGCCUCUAAGGAGAGCAUUCCCUCCUCAGGUCCUUCUAGGAGGUAGAUGUUAUCCUAGGCCUGGUAGGACAGAAGGUAAAUGGUGGCACCCACCCAGGGGCAGAGGCAUACAAAAACUACCCCUUCCUAAGGCAACUCACGAUCCUGAUAAAGUUGCAGAAAAAUAUCAUAGUAUAGUAACACAGGGAAAUUGGGAUUAUGGUGAGGUCUGGGAACCCUACAAUACAGUUAAUGGUAAAAGAGAAACCCCAAGCACUGUGCCCGUGUGGCUUGCGAUCAGACGGAGCUGGGGGCCUGUAUGUAUUUUGGUCCCCUUACACUUUGCAAUACUUCUGCUUUCAUUAUUAUCGGAAUAAAGAUAGAGGCUUAGGGCCAUUCGACUCAUGGGGAACUAAGUCUAGACAUUACACCCCGUUUUGUAAUCAGUCUUAAACAUCUAGACGCCUAGUAGAUAUACAGAAAAGGUCAAUAUCUGUAAUUAACAAAGGUUGCUUGCUUCUCACAUACUGUGCUAAUGUUGUAACAAGAUAUGCUUAUGUACCCAUUUUGUUUGCCAAAAUUAUGUACUGAGACAAUUCCAUGAAAUCAUAAGCGCGUGACCUGGACCCUAUAUAAGUGCUUGAAUGCUUUGAAUAAAUCAGACUUGGAAACCUC
ensembl:lncRNA